rnacentral:rRNA from 1 species
UGGGGAAUCUUGGACAAUGGGGGCAACCCUGAUCCAGCGAUGCCGCGUGGGUGAAGAAGGCCUUCGGGUUGUAAAGCCCUUUAGGUUGGGAAGAAGUGUGAGAGUUUAAGAGAUACCCACAUUGACGGUACCAACAGAAUAAGCACCGGCAAACUCUGUGCCAGCAGCCGCGGUAAUACAGAGGGUGCAAGCGUUAAUCGGAGUUACUGGGCGUAAAGGGCGCGUAGGCGGAUUAAUGAGUGUGAUGUGAAAGCCCUGGGCUUAACCUAGGAAGUGCAUCGCAAACGAUUGAUCUAGAGUAGAUGAGAGGGUGGCGGAAUUUCCGGUGUAGCGGUGAAAUGCGUAGAGAUCGGAAGGAACGUCAAUGGCGAAGGCAGCCACCUGGCAUCAUACUGACGCUGAGGCGCGAAAGCAUGGGGAGCGAACA